rnacentral:rRNA from 1 species
UACGUAGGGUGCAAGCGUUGUCCGGAAUUAUUGGGCGUAAAGGGCUCGUAGGCGGUCCAUCGCGUCGGGAGUGAAAAGCUGGGGCUCAACCCCAGUCCUGCUUCCGAUACGGGUGGACUAGAGGUAUGCAGGGGAGAACGGAAUUCCUGGUGUAGCGGUGAAAUGCGCAGAUAUCAGGAGGAACACCGGUGGCGAAGGCGGUUCUCUGGGCAUUACCUGACGCUGAGGCACGAAAGCGUGGGGAGCAAACGGG